CCUACGGGUGGCAGCAGUGAGGAAUAUUGGUCAAUGGCCGAGAGGCUGAACCAGCCAAGUCGCGUGCGGGAACACGGCCCUACGGGUUGUAAACCUCUUUUGUCGGGGAGCAAAGCGAGUCACGUAUGACUCAUUGAGAGUACCCGAAGAAAAAGCAUCGGCUAACUCCGUGCCAGCAGCCGCGGUAAUACGUAGGAUGCGAGCGUUAUCCGGAUUUAUUGGGGUUAAAGGGUGCGCAGGCGGAGGUGGAAGUCAGCGGUAAAAUUGCGGUGCUCAACCCCGUACUGCCGUUGAGACUGCAUGCCUUGAGUGCGCGAGAAGUAUGCGGAAUGCGUGGUGUAGCGGUGAAAUGCAUAGAUAUCACGCAGAACUCCGAUUGCGAAGGCAGCAUACCGGCGCGAAACUGACGCUCAUGCACGAAAGCGUGGGUAUCGAACAGGAUUAGAUACCCCAGUAGUC
rnacentral:rRNA from 1 species